GCCGGGGUGGCGGAACUGGUAGACGCAGCCGGCUUAAAACCGGGAGUCCUUCGGGACGUGGGGGUUCGACUCCCUCCCCCGGCA
rnacentral:tRNA from 1 species